UACGUAGGGUGCGAGCGUUGUCCGGAGUUAUUGGGCGUAAAGAGCUUGUAGGCGGUUUGUCGCGUCUGCCGUGAAAAUCCGGGGCUCAACCCCGGACUUGCGGUGGGUACGGGCAGACUAGAGUGUGGUAGGGGAGACUGGAAUUCCGGGUGUAGCGGUGAAAUGCGCAGAUAUCAGGAGGAACACCGAUGGCGAAGGCAGGUCUCUGGGCCACUACUGACGCUGAGAAGCGAAAGCGUGGGGAGCGAACAGG
rnacentral:rRNA from 1 species